rfam:Gossypium raimondii Chr06_contig_819, whole genome shotgun sequence.
UGUUAAAAAUUUCAUCUAUUGAUAUGCUUAACGGAACAACCACACAGUGACACAUGGUGUGUCACAUGUACGUCAUGUUGAUGUACAGAAACUAGUUUUUAACGGUAGAAUUGGAUGAAAUUUUUAACA